UUGAAAAACCUGUUCCCGUAGAUUCACCGAAGUUAAGCAACAUCGAUCCUGCUUAGUACUUAGAUGAGUGACCACUUGGGAAUACCAGGUGCU